rnacentral:rRNA from 1 species
UGGGGAAUAUUGGACAAUGGGCGAAAGCCUGAUCCAGCCAUGCCGCGUGUGUGAAGAAGGUCUUCGGAUUGUAAAGCACUUAAAGUUGGGAGGAAGGGCAGUAAGCGAUUACCUUGCUGUUUUGCCGUAACCGACAGAAUAAGCACCGGCUACCUCUGUGCCAGCAGCCGCGGUAAUACAGAGGGUGCAAGCGUUAAUCGGAAUUACUGGGCGUAAAGCGCGCGUAGGUGGUUCGUUAAGUUGAAUGUGAAAGCCCCGGGCUCAACCUGGGAACUGCAUCCAAAACUGGCGAGCUAGAGUAGGGCAGAGGGUGGUGGAAUUUCCUGUGUAGCGGUGAAAUGCGUAGAUAUAGGAAGGAACACCAGUGGCGAAGGCGACCACCUGGGCUCAUACUGACACUGAGGUGCGAAAGCGUGGGGAGCAAACAGG